rnacentral:rRNA from 1 species
AUUGAACGCUGGCGGCAGGCCUAACACAUGCAAGUCGAAUGGUAACAGGAAACAGCUUGCUGUUUCGCUGACGAGUGGCGGACGUGUGAGUAAUGUCUGGGAAACUGCCUGAUGGAGGGGGAUAACUACUGGAAACGGUAGCUAAUACCGCAUAACGUCGCAAGACCAAAGAGGGGGACCUUCGGGCCUCUUGCCAUCAGAUGUGCCCAGAUGGGAUUAGCUAGUAGGUGGGGUAACGGCUCACCUAGGCGACGAUCCCUAGCUGGUCUGAGAGGAUGACCAGCCACACUGGAACUGAGACACGGUCCAGACUCCUACGGGAGGCAGCAGUGGGGAAUAUUGCGCAAUGGGCGCAAGCCUGAUGCAGCCAUGCCGCGUGUAUGAAGAAGGCCUUCGGGUUGUAAAGUACUUUCAGCGGGGAGGAAGGGAGUAAAGUUAAUACCUUUGCUCAUUGACGUUACCCGCAGAAGAAGCACCGGCUAACUCCGUG